GCGCACGUGGCGAAACUGGUAGACGUGCCAGACUUAGGAUCUGGUGCCGCAAGGCGUGGGGGUUCGAUUCCCUCCGUGCGCA
rnacentral:tRNA from 1 species